GGUAAAGAUUUUUUGUUUCCUUUUGCUCUGAUUUUUCACAUUUCCGGAGUUCUUUUGCUGAUUCCUUCUCACCUGGCCUCUUGAUUGAGUCCUGGAGGUAGUAGGGGUAGCUUGUGGGCCUGAACCCGGGACCCGGAAGAUCAAUCACUUACUGUGCCAGGGAGAAGAGUGCUGGUCCAUGGGAUGUUCAAGCAGGUUUGAUGAUCUUCUCAGUUUGCCUCUGUCCUGCUGUCUUCACCUGUUCCCAGCAGUGUGAAUUGCACUGGGUCCCCCAGCUUAAUUUCUGAUAUGGCAGGUGGUUCUUGGGAGUAGGAAUCAGCCAUGCCCUGUUUGCUUGAGUUGGAAGAUGCUAUGAUGUGAUAUAUAGUUGUUCUCCCCGUCAUUGGAUGUUUGUGUGAAAGAGACAGCUGCUGAGGUGUUCUUGUGUGCACAUGAUAGACUCUGGUACCCCAUAUGGAGUACUUGAAUGCAGCAAGCUUUAGGAGGACCCUGAAGCUACUAGGGGGUUGCUUGAUCUCUGCCACCAUUGAGGUGGGGGAAGGAGCAAGGCAGUUUGUGGUUAGGUUUCAGAAGCCAGAACGGCUUUGCAAAGGCUCAAGGGGCCUCGGAAGUCUCUUCUCUGGCCACUAGGGGGAGCCCCUGGUAUGAGGGUCAGGAGGAGCUCCUCAAACCAGGAAGGCUGUUUAUGGUGGAGGGUCCUAAAUGCUUGAGUGAUCCCUGGGCUGGGAUCUUUCCUCCCGUAUCCAGUAGCACAGUUUUCUGUGGGAAGGGGUGGUAUUCCCCCAAAUUGCUACUCCUUGGACCCCUACAGCACACUCCCAUCAGUUUAGUCCACAUGUGCUUCCUCACCACCACAGUCCAACUCUCAAACCUCUCUCCCAUCUGUGUGACCCACUAGUUUGCAUCUCCAUGAAAUGCCAGCAGGCAGGGAAUUCAAGGACUGUGAAUCCCCUGUUCCACUACAAGUCAUCAAAAGAAGAGGUGUGGGCUCCUGUACCUGUGCGGACCUCAGCCAAGAGCACACACCCAGUGGAGAGAAAUGGCCACUUGAGAACUUCUCAGUUCAAACUGUUCUCCCUGUUGUAACGAAUGGGUGGAGGGGUUGCAGCACCCAGUCAGCCAGCACAUGUGAAUGCAAGGUGUUUGGUUGCCAUGGAACCAAAAGCCAGACUAUUCCCUUUCCAAUAGCACGCCAUUACCCAACAUGGCGGUUCUCUUGGGGUGGAUAUGGGUGUGCUCCCAGAUCCUUGUUCCUCAGCUCCCUACCACACUUUCCCGUGGGAAAUGUCCGUGUGGGCUUCCUUGCCACCGCGGUCCAGCUCCCAGACUUCUCCCCGUGCCCUCUUGCGCCCCUCUCAUGUCUGGGGGGCACUGGGACUGGCUUGAUUCUCUGAGCCACUCUGAGUCCAACCCCACAAAACACCAAUGGGUAGGAAGUUCCCAAAUUAUACACGCCUGUUCCACCACAAGUCCUCAAGGGAACAGCGGUGGGCCCCACUCUCUGUGGAGACCUCACCCUGGGAAGCGCGGAGAAAAACGACCAUUUGGGAACUUCUCGGCUCAACCUGUAGUCAGGGUUGUAAUGGAGGGGAGGGGCCGCAGCGCCCAGUCAGCGCAGGCGCAAACCGCUUUUCUGGUUACAGUGAACUGGGGACGUGCGGGGGAGGAAGUAUCCGGGUGGAAGAAAGCUGGCCACUCUGGCCUCUUGUGGCACUCUUCUGGUGGGGAGCCCCCCACAGACUGCCCUGUGACUCUGUAGUUCACCCUGCUAUUCCUUAUUUGCUGCCUGGGUUAUGGAGGGCGGAAAAGCCUUCAGUAAACUUAGUGUCCCGUUGCUGCUGAGUGCGUGUGUGGGGGGAGGGAAUCCCCCUGCCCCUUUCUCUGGCCCGAGCCUCUCUGGGUUUGAUCGUUUCCGAUAUCCUCCCCUCUUUAUCUUCCUUCUCAGCUUCACAGUCUUUCUCCAUGUGGUCUCCAGCUGUCUCCGUUGCCCCUCUCUGUGAUCCACACCUGAGCUGUGACUGUUCUCCUCUCUCCUCCACCAGCUGCCCUGCCUUCCUCCGGGGAUGGUCUGACAAGCCCUGUCUCUAGUCCCUCAGAAGAACUUGAUCUGUACCUCCAGAUCUGUCAUCUUGUAGCUGCCUCUGGAUUGGGAAGUGUGGCGCCUAUAAAGAAAUAAUCAACAAACCAAUGCCUGUUUCAUCGAUACAUAUGUUGGUACCUUUGGAAAGAUCCAGAAAUCCACAUGUUGACAUGAAUGUGAGGCUGUUAUUGCUGCACAUAUACUUUCUACAACUUGAUUUUCUGUGUAUCAAUUACUCAGGCUAGGACACUAAAGUUUAGAGAUAUUAAGUGGCUUGGACAACAUCACACAGUAAAGGGUAGAGCUGCUCUCCCUCAGGAGGAAGCCUCGGUGGUUUUCAUACUCCAGGAAAAUGCACCUGAAUAAGACUGUGGUGGGUGAAGACUGGAGAUUUGGCCAUGCUUCCUGCAGCAUUGAGGCUUUGUAAUGUCACAGCGCUCAGCGAAGAGGUUCAGCCAUUUCUGCCUUGUGCCACUGGACAGAUGAUUCCUGCGUUUGAAUUAGAGCAUUUCUUCAGCCUUUCCACAACUUGGUGAGGCCGCAUGAUGGAGUCCAGGCCAAUGGAAUGAGAGUGGGUGUGAUGCCUGCCACUUCCAUGCUUGGCAACCUUCCAUCCUCUCUCCCCCAUCUACUGGACGGAAGCAGUGGACCUGGUAGAGGACCCCAAAGCCCUAGAAGAUAACAAAGCAACAGGACAGAAAGAGCCUGGGUCCCUUAACAACUGUUUGCAAUAAGAGUCACACCACCAACUCUCAUUGAACUCUGGUGGGUGGAGGGAUAAAUUUUUAUUGUCUUAAAUUGCCUAGAUUUUUAGCUUGUUUGUUAAAGUAACAAAUGGUUAACCUAAGUAAUAUAGAAUGUGUGCAAAAGAUAAUGCUGGAAUAAGGUACUGGCAGUUGAAAUGAAGAGAGCUAUUUAGAAGGUAGAAUCAGCAGUUCUUGGUGGUCGAUUAGAUGGAAUGGUGAUAGAGAAGGUGAAGUUAAUAAUGGGGUAGAGUGAGUCUCAAGUUUCUAGUUUGGAUAGCAGAUUGAAUACUAGUGCCAUUGAUUAAAGUCAUGAAAAUUGGAAGAAAAGCAGAUUUUUGAAAGGAAGGAGUAAGAAUUCAGCUUAGUACGUGGGCAGUUUGAGAUGCCCUUGAAACCUCUAAGUGGGUAUGUUUUUGUUUCUUUCUCUUUACUUCUCCUCUUGGGAACUUGAUAUUGGCUCUGACAAGUAACUUGUAAUGUAUUGUGAUCUGUAUGACAUUGUGUGUUGCUUUUUCCUUCUAGUUCUUGAAACCUUUCCAAGAUUAUGUUACACAGUCUCAUCUCUAUCAAUUUCUAAUUUAUAAAUAGAAGGGGCUGCCCUGGAAAGGAGGAAGAAGGAAGGUGGCCAUGAUUGACCUUGCUAGGCCAUCUUCCUCACCUUUGCUCUUACCUGGUCCUCUUAAUGGAAGAUAAAAGGCAAUGCAAGAUGAACAUCCUCAGAGAUAUCUUUUAUUUGGUUUUACAUGGAUUGUAAUUACCAAGAGGUGCUUGGGCUACCUUUAGAGGAAAGAUGAUUGUUAACCUCUAUGGUCCAACCAGUCCUUCAUUUCUAGAGAUAAUUAAAAUGGACAACGGUGAUUUUUCAUUUCUUCUGGCUUUGAAUGUUGACCUGUGGAAGUGGUAUUAAUACCCAUGACCAAAUAGGUAUUUAUUGAUUUCAGUUUUCAUAAGCUGCCUAUCAAGUUUGAAUGCAAACCAGUAACCUAUAUGUGGGAGAUGCAAUAUUCCAUUGCUAGUGCCUAGAUCCAUAGUCUUCAUUUCCUCCACUUGCCUCCUCCCCUCCUCUGGACCAUGAUCCAGAGUGGCCUAAGUGUACCCAUUCAUUCUAUCAAUAGCUUGUUCCUAUUAUAUGCCAGGUGAUGAGCAGAGAGUAGUGAGGAUGCAAAACCCAACAAGUUGGAGUUUCUAUGCUAUAGGAGAUUAUAUUUUAGUGAAAUUAUAGAUAAAUUAUUAGGAAAGUUUAAUCCAGAGUGACAAUUGCUAUGGGAGCAUGCACAGAGGAGACUUAGCCCAAUCUUAAGGAAUCAGGCAGGUUUGCAUAGACUUGACAGAAGGAGUGAGCAGGAGGAGGGGUUCGGAGUUGAGGGGAGCAGGGGAAGCACUUUGCCAAGGAAAGGCAUGAGUAAAGAGGAUCAUUUUCUGCUCUUACCCCUGCGUGGUCUUUGCAUGGUGCUGUCUGGCACACACAGGAGAGAGGGCUGUUCACAGACGGCUUUAUUCUAAGGGAACUAGGAAACAGGGGAAGUUUGUUUCUCCUUGGA